CUAGGCCGAGGAGGAGUCGCCCGCUGCCCAAAGGGUUUUAGCGAACUGCGCCCGCCCCCACCAGGACGGGAGUCGGCACCCCCAGGCUGGGCUCAGUCUCCGGGGUUCCUUCCGGUUCACACCCUCUGUCACUCCGAGAUCCUCUGGGCUCCAGAGCGAGGAACCCUGGGUCUUUGUACACGUGUCUGUUUAAGCAGUUGCGUUGCAAAUUUACAUAUAUCUGCAUGUCAUUAACAUAGAGGCGGAGCCGGAACUUGUUUGGGCAACUAUCCCUGGACAGUUCUCCUGGCUUUGCUUUCAUCCCGUCCGAUGGCCACCUGGACUGCGCAUGCGUGAGUUUUGCCUCUCGGUGUUCUCGGUUUGAGGUGGGUGGGAGACUUUUGACGGUGGCCGUAAGCUCUGGUCCACCCACCUUACAGAAACAUCCUAACCGAAGACUCAGUUCCUUAAACAACCGUGACUUGUUGGACCUCAGUUCUGCCUUUUCUGGCUGUGUCGUCUUAGGUCCAGACAUGGCAGGAGAAACUUCCAGAUGUCAGGGCAGACCGGAUUCCAGCCGUGAGAUGAGAAAUAUUGGCCAGACCAGGGUCUUCCAUCUGCUCUAAAGAAAUGGACCUGAAGGUUCUUCUGAUCUGAAUGAAGUUCCCAUGGAAACCCCUCAGACUGGGAAGCUGAGGCAGGAGAAUGCUAUCUUAGUGUUACUGUUGCUGUAAUGAAACCAUCAUGGCCAAAAGCAAUUUUCUUCGGAUUACACUUCCACGUGAACUCAAACAAGGCAGGAGCUGAGGCAGAGGCCAUGGAGGAGUGCUGCUCACUGGCUUGCUCCCCAUGGCUUGUUCAGCCUGCUUUCUUAAAGAACUCUGGACCACCAGC
rnacentral:lncRNA from 1 species